UCUCACUGGACCUCAGUGUGAGAACAGAGGCCUCCAGUGCAUACAUGAAUAUUCAUUAGCUGAUCUGAACCAAGUAAGAGAGAUGAUUACAUAACAGGAGUACACUGAGAUGAGCACCUGAGGACAGACUGAAAUGGAAGAAAACAGACAUGACUGAUACUGAUACUGAAGAAUCUAAAGUAACAGCAGGACAAUCCCCAGUAUUUGAAAAACAGCUCAUCUCAUUCCACUACAUAAAGGAAGAGAAGCAUCAGGCCAGUCACUCUCUGAUCUAAGGAGGGAGUCAAACCAGCCCUGAUCCAAUUAGAGAGAGAAGCAUCAGGAGGGACAGAACGUGUCUGCUGCUGAAGCCACAAAGCAGG